GCUGGACUGUAACUGACGNUGAGGCACGAAAGCGUGGGGAUCAAACAGGAUUAGAUACCCUGGUANNCCACGCCGUAAACGAUGAAUGCUAGCUGUUAGCGAUAUACUGUUAGCGGCACAGAGAAAUCGUUAAGCAUUCCACCUGGGGAGUACGCCGGCAACGGUGAAACUCAAAGGAAUUGACGGGGGCCCGCACAAGCGGAGGAACAUGUGGUUUAAUUCGAUGAUACGCGAGGAACCUUACCUGGGCUUAAAUUGCAGUGGAAUAACGUGGAAACAUGUUAGCCUUCGGGCCGCUGUGAAGGUGCUGCAUGGUUGUCGUCAGCUCGUGCCGUGAGGUGUCGGCUUAAGUGCCAUAACGAGCGCAACCCUCAUCGAUAGUUACUAACAGGUUAAGCUGAGGACUCUAUCGAGACUGCCGACGUAAGUCGUGAGGAAGGUGGGGAUGACGUCAAAUCAGCACGGCCCUUACGUCCAGGGCUACACACGUGUUACAAUGGGGGGUACAAAGGGCAGCUACCUGGCGACAGGAUGCUAAUCUCAAAAACCUCUCUCAGUUCGGAUUGGAGUCUGCAACCCGACUCCAUGAAGCUGGAUUCGCUAGUAAUCGCGCAUCAGCCACGGCGCGGUGAAUACGUUCCCGGGCCUUGUACACACCGCCCGUCAAGCCAUGGGAGCCGGGGGGACCUGAAGUAUGCAACCGUAAGGAGCGUCCUAGGGUAAAACUGGUGACUGGGGCU
rnacentral:rRNA from 1 species